CUCGAUCAGGUUUGUUUUGAAGAAAAGAAAACACUGAGUAAUGUCUACUACAUCCUUGGAUUACGAAGCAACCUUGUAAGCUUGGGACAAGGCACCGAAGCUGGGUGUGAAGUAAGGAUGAAAGACGACCUAUUGAUGCUUUUUGAUCGGAUAUGAUAUCUAAUGAUCAAGACGACGAGAUCAAAGAAUCGCUUGUAUAAAGUGAACAAUGCAGGCUGAUAUCAUCGAGUGCUUACAAAUUACGUCGUCUACCGAAUCGUCAAAGUGGCACGCGAGACUAGGACAUGGCAAUACUGAGACCAUGAAGACGAUGAUAAGCAAGGAAUUGGUUGUUGGCAUACCGGACAUAACAAUCAUGAAAGAAACCUGUGUAUCUUGCUAACUUGGGAAGCAAACAAGGAAGCCAUUCCCGCAAACUACCUCGUACAGAGCCACACAACCUCUUGAGCUUGUUCAUGGAGAACUCUGCAGGCCCAUCACUCCUCCCACACCAGGACAGAAGCGAUACGUGUUCGUGUUAAUCGAUGAUUUCUCACGAUAUAUGUGGACCAUAAUUCUUAAGGAGAAGAGUGAGGCUUUUGCAAAAUUCAAAAUAUUCAUAAAACUUUCAGAAAAAGAAACAAAGGCAAUGGUGAAGACGUUCCGAACAGACAGAGGAUGAGAGUUCAUCUCUGAUGAGUUUGGUAGCUAUUGCGAUACACAUGGAAUCAACAGGCACAUGACAGCUCCAUAUUCUCUGCAGUAAAACGGAGUUGUCGAGAGACGAAAUAGAAAUUUACUCGAGAUGACCAGAAGCCUGUUGAAGCACAUGAGUAUACCAAAUAGGUUGUGGGGAGAAGCGGUCAGACAUGAUACCUACUUGCUCAAUAGAGUCGCAACAAGAUCUCUACUUGGACAAUCACCAUACGAAGCCUUGAGAAAGAAGAAACCAAACGUCACACAUCUCAGGGUUUUUGGGUGUGUUUGUUAUGCAAGAACAUAGAUCGCAGGUAGAAAGAAGCUUGAUGAUCGAUCAAGAGCGUUGGUACACUUGGGAACAGAGCCCGGCUCGAAAACGUAUCGACUACUUGAUCCCUCAAGCAAGAAGAAAGUGGUUAGUCAAGACGUACACUUCGACAAAGAGAAACAAUGGAACUGGAACGAUACAGUAGGAGGAAAGGAAACAAAGCAUGAUACGUUUGAGUUUGAGCUGGCGCCUUUAACAGGUAGUGGUAAUCAUUCUGGAGCUCCAACUGAAAGUGAGAGUGAAAACGAUGAGGUAGAAGUCUUGGACGAAGAAGAUGAUGAAGAAGAAGAAACAUAGCUAAGAAGAUCAGAUAGAGUGAGAACUAAACCUUCCUACUUAGACGACUAUAUACUUCUGGCCGAGAUAGAGUGUGAGAGACUCUUAAUGGUGAUUAACAACAAACCAUGGGACUUCAACGAGGCUAAAUGGCAAAAGGUUUGGGUGAAUGCAUGUGAGGAGGAACUAAGCUCGAUCGAGAAGAAUAAGACUUAAAUCCUUGUUGAUCUACCAAGAGGUUUCAAGUCUAUUGGACUAAAGUGGGUAUUCAAGAUAAAAAAAAACGCAGAUGAAAGUAUAAGUAAAUACAAAGCACGAUUAGUGGCAAAAGGAUAUGUCCAACGGCUGACAUUGAUUAUGACGAAGUCUUUGCACCCGUAGCUCUUGUUGAGACGAUCAGAUUGGUCAUUGCACUCGCAGCGUCAAAGGUAUGGGAGAUUCACCAUCUUGAUGUCAAGACAGCGUUCUUACACGGGUAGUUGAAGGAAGAAGUUUACGUCACUCAGCCCGAAGGGUUCGUGAUCAAGGGUAAAGAGGAGAAAGUUUACAAGUUGCAUAAAGCUCUCUACGGCUUGAGACAGACACCUAGGGCGUGGAACGUCAAACUCAACCAAAUAUUGAAGGAACUUGGGUUCACCCGUUGCUCUAAAGAGCCAUACUGUAUAUAAAGGAAGAAAAAGGCGAUCUUCUAGUUGUUUGCAUAUAUGCUGAUGACCUACUCGUCACAGGUUUCAUCUUUGAGACUGAUCGUUGAGUUUAAGCAAGAGAUGGCUCGGAAGUUUGAGAUUAGUGACCUUGGUAAACUAACCUAUGAUCUGGGUAUUGAUGUACGACAAACUGAUGAAGGUAUUGUGUUGUCACAAGACAAAUAUGCUCAUAAGAUCUUUGAGGAAGCCGGUAUGCAUAAGUGCAAUCUUACUCAUAUCCCUAUGGACAUGAACAUGAGACUCUCCAAGUCACCUCGAGAAACUAGCAUUGACGAAAGGGAGUACAAACGAAGCAUUGGUUGCCUCCAGUAUCAAUUAGUGUUGGUGUGCUUAGUAGAUAUAUGCAAGAACCUAAGGAUACCCACAGAGCAGAUUUGAAGCAAAUCUUCUGGUACUUGUGUGGUACUACUUCUUUUGGUUUACGUUUCACGAGAGCAACAAAGCAAGAGCAGGUGGGUUUUAGUGAUAGCUUUCACAAUGUUGAUAAUGCUGACGGUAAGAGUACGACUGGUCAUAUUUUCUAUCUUGGUGAUAGUCCUAUAACAUGGUGUUCUCAAAAGUAAGAGAUUGUGGCAUUAUCGUCGUGUGAAGCAGAAUUUAUGGUGGCUACGGAAGCUGCGAAGCAGGCAAUAUGGCUCCAGGAGCUUUUGAGUGAAGUCGUUGGUGAUGACUGCAAGAUGGUGGCUAUUCAAGUUGAUAACAAGUCAGUGAUCUGAUAUACUUACGAAAGCCCUUACUCGAAUUUGAUUCAAAGAAAUGAGAGAAUUCAUUGGAGUACAAGUCGUGUGUGAAGAUGAAGUCAAGUUUAAGGGGAAGAAUGUUGGUUUACGCUUGGAGUUAGCUUGAACCACAAGCUAUCGUAAUCCUAUUUAUUAGGAUUAUCUAUAAAAAAAUUAGAAAAUAUAGAAAGUAUUAUUACUAAUAGGAUUAGGAAUUGUCUGGUCUUAUAUAUAUUAUGCUUAUGAUGUUGAAUUACUUACGGAUUGUGUGAAUGAUUAGCUUUAGUCUUGAAUUGUUUUUGAUAAAGCUUUGGGUGAUUAAUAAGAGAAAGACUUCUUGUUAAAGUGAUUGAGAUUCUAUAUAUAUUACUAAAGAAUAUAUCGUAGGGUAAUAACCAAUUUGUUUCGUCGGGCAACGAUGUCUUUCAAAAAUAAAUUAAGAUUAGUCUUUCAAUAGCGUUUAUUGUUGGUUAUUGCUAAUAGUGAAGCAAUGUCAACACUAAUACAAUAUAGUUAUAUAUUAAGCCACAUAGUCACAGUAGUAAGUCUGAGCUGGCAAAGAAGGGCCUACGUUGUUCGAUAGCAUCCUUUACCAUACAUCUCAAACUCAAGCAAGAUAGCGGAGACUCCUAGAAAAAAUAUAGAUAAGAAAACGCGAAAUAAUGUUGUUAAAAAAAAGAAGAAAAAGCCAAAUAUACAUCUUUGACAAUUACUUCAUUUCAACGACGUGCUAUCUGAUUAACUCAAAAACACUAUUUUAUUAUAAUUUUGACACAAAAAUCUUUUCCAACCCAACAUAAAAUCAAACCAUUUUAAUGCAACAUUAUAAUUUCACACCAAAUUUGGUGUGACACUAUUCACCAAACUAAAACACUAUUCACCCCACUAAAAUACUAUUUACUUAAUUUAUUAAUAAAUUAGACAAUUAAAUAAAUGACAAAUAAAAACAUAUAAUAUUAUAAAAUAGUUUUUAGUAUAAAAUUUGUUGUUAUGGUGGAGAAUAAACUUUUUUUAGUACUAAAAUUACACUAAAAUAGUGUGGUUUUGACACUAAAAUAGUGUUAUGGGUUGGAGAUGCUUUUAGAGAUUACACGUUACUUGUUUAUUUUUAUUUUUAUUGUUAGUGACUUUGCUUCCUGUUUAUGAUUAAAAAAAUAUGGACGUCUAACAUCAAGUAUUAUACUAUAUACUAUUAUAUAUAGAGAUUUUUGUUUUUUGAUGUCUACGGUUCGAUCUUAGAGCAUCUCCAACCCCACUCCAUAUUUUACUACAAAGUUGGGAAAAUGGUGUUAUGAACAAAAAAUAAAAACAGUACUCUAUAAAUGGAGUAAUGCUUUUAUUUUUUUGUUCAUUACUUCAUUUUCCGCUCUUUUUUCUCAGUUUUUGAGUAAAAUAUAGAGUUGAGUUGGAGAUGCCCUUAGAUCGAUUUUGUCUUCGCAGAAGGCGAUUGUCUCUUCGUUUAGGCGAUUUUUGUUAUGUUGUUUCAAUCAAAUAAAAAAUACUAUAUACUAUUAUAUAACGAUGUUGGAGUUGAAAAUAUUAUAUAUACACACAUACAUGUAUAUACUAUAAAUAUAAACGUUGUUGGCAUUUUCUUCACAAAAUUUUCUUUCUAAGAGCAUCUCCAAAAAGAAACUCUAUUUUGAAGUUUCCAAAACUCUAUAUUUGAAGUUUCAAUGUGUUCUUCUCCAAAGUAAAACUUCAAACCUAACUUCAAAAUUAUUUAUAUUUUACACUAUGGUCCUUAUAUUUGUCAUAGUUGAUGUAAAUUCAUAAAACUUCUAUAAAUAACUAGUACAUAUAUAUAAAUAUCACAGAAAUAUUAAUUAAAAAAUCUUACACUAAAAUAUAAAAUUAUAAAUAAAAGUACAUAAUUAAAUAUUAAGCUGCAAGCAAAUACUACAUUAUUCCAUAAAAUUAUUUCCGUAAUGCUCUCAUAUAUAAUCAACUAGUGCAUUUCAAAGUAAGAAAUGAUUCUCUUUAUUUUUUUAUUUGUAGAUUACGAGCCAAAAAUUGUUGAAAACAGAUAUCCUCAUAAUAUACCCGUUGAUAGUUUGAUAUCAUCAAACAAAACAAUCCUUGAUCUUUUAAACGAAAGAGCAACAAGCAGGGAAAAAGGUCAUGAGAUGAUUGAAUUACGACUGCAAAAUGAAGCAAAAAAGUUAGCUUUUAAAGAAGUAAAAGAGGAAAAUAAAAUAUUGCUAAAAAACUUAGCUUAUAUCGAUGAUGUUAAUAUUCUUGAAUACAUUCGAUCUGAACAAGAAAGAAUCGUACGAAAAAGGCGUCAAGAGCAACAACAACAAUCAUCUUCGGUUACACAAAAUUUGUUUGGACAAUAUUUUGGAGAUUUGGGAGGUUCUGGAGCAAAUUUACAAGACUAUUAGUGUUGUUAUAAUAUUUAAAUUUGAGUAAUAAUUAUGUCUUCAUGUGUCUUUUUAAUAAGUUUUUAUUAUGGUUUUUUUGUAAUAUUCUUGUUGUUUAAUUCUAGUUUUAAAAUAUUAUAAAUCUUGUUUUAAAAUUUUUAUUUAAUUUCAUGUGUAAAACUUAAAUUUAUAAAACAAAUUUGAAAUAUUUAUGAGAUAUAAAAAGUUUUAAGGAUUAAAAUAAUAAAUAAAAAAAUAUUUAAGAAUUAUAAAUAUGAUAUAUAAUUGUAAGGACCAAAAUGAAAAUAAAAAGAUGAAACUUCAAAUUUGAAGUUUUGAAAAGUAAAACUCUAUAUUGGAGUUUCACUCUUCAAAAUUUUAAAUUUGAAGUUUCUUUUUGGAGAGCAAAAAAUUUCAUAUUUGGAGUUAUAGAGUUUCUUUUGGAGAUGCUCUAAUGAAAAGAAUAAAGUUAGCAAAAAUAGAAAGAAAGCAUAAACGCUAAGCUAAAGAUUCUUGGGAAAUCUGUUUUUUUAGAGCAAAAAAUGGUAACUAUGUCCCUUUAAACUAAUUUAUACUACUUUAUGUCCUAUUAGACUAUUUUUUUCCAAAAUGGCAGUAAUGCCCUUAAAAUUGUAAUUUUUUUAAAAAUAUAUAUAUUGAGUUCGACAAGGGAGAUCGAUCGAUCCCACUUUACAAGUUAUAGUGGAUCGAUCGAUCCCGAUCAUUAUUCAGAACAAAAAAAAACGCGAAAUAUAUACUGAUCGACCUGGUCCAUUUCACUCGAUCGGCGAAGGUCGAUUUACACAGAUCGACCGAUCUGUAAGAAUAGAUCGAUCGAUCCCGUGCCGAGGAAAGAAUCCCAAAUCGAUUUUUUGGUUUUGUAUGAUUAUAUCCGGAUUGAUUCCCACUUGAUUUGAACCGACCAAGCAUGAUUUCAACUCUUUAAACUCGAUUUCUCUGGUUUGAAACCCAUAAUUUCCCAUUCACAAAUAAAGGGAGACAAAAUCAAAUUCUCACCCAAGUUCAUUAACCCUAACUCACUCAAUUUCACUCUAAUUUGGACGAUUAUUUGGCCUAACCCAUACGAUUUCGUGAGCUUUUUACGAAUCUAUCACUCAUAGACAUGAAUCAUGGUAGAAAUAAUGUGAAAAUUUUGUGAACAAUCAAUGGAAUAUAGAAGACGGUGAAGAAGGUUGCCAAGGUUUUUUUUUGUCGCUUUUUUUUGUUCUUUUUUUGUUUUUUUUUUAAAAAAAAAAAAUCGAUUUUUUUUAAAUAUAAAAGUGAAUAUUCUCAAAUAUUUUGUUUCCAUAUUUUUAGGAACUGAUUUCUUAUCCGUAGAAUACAACUAAUAUGUAGAAAUCAGUUUCUACAGUUUUUUAGAAUUAUAGUAAUGUUUAGAAUUUGAUUUCUACAUGUUUUAGAUUUAUAGUAAAUCUGUAGAAGUCGGUUUCUACAUGUUUUAGAAUUAGAUUAAUGUGUAGAUUUCGAUUUCUAAGAAUUUUAGAAUGAUAGGUUAAGCGCGGAAUGUGUAUUCUACAUAUUUGUAGAAUACUCCUAUUUACGUAGAUCACGUAUUCUAAACAUUGUAGAUUCAAUGAAAAAAGUAAACUUCGUUUUCUACUUCGUAGAAUGUCAUUUCUACUUUUUUUAGAACAUAAUCUGAAAUUUAUAAUUUUAACUUUUUUAUAACUGGAAAAUAUACCUUUAAGUUCAUAUAGGUAUUUUAACAAAUGUUACUAUUUUCCAAUUUUUUUUUGUUUUUAAAACUAUUUAUUAAAAUUAUUUUCAUAAAUAUUAAAGGGUAUUAUAGAAAAAUAUGACACAAAAUAUAGAUUAGUCUAAAGGGACAUAGUUACUAUUUUUUUGCUCUAAAAAAACAGUUUUCCCAAGAUUCUUUUGGGUGUCUGAUAUUGGUUUCAGUAUCAUUUGUAUCAAUAAAUUUUGAGAGGCAGAAGAAUUAUUUAUCCGAACUAGGGAUGUUAACUACAAGGUUAGGGCCCAACCCUCUUUUGUUUAUUAUAAGCACAGUCCUAUUUUAACCCAGUCCUAUUUUAACUCUAUUAUAAUCAAGGGUUAGAGCUGGUACCAGGGUUAGCUCAUUUAAUUGAAAAAAAUAUUUCAUUUAUUUUUGUUCUUAAGUUUUAAAGAUAAAACUAGAAAAAUUAAGAUAUGAUAUGAUUCUUUCCUCCAAUUUGUUGAGCAUCAAAAUCAAAAGUUUUCCUCCAAAUAUCGUAAAAUCGAGUUUUUGCUCCACAACUAAGAAUAAAGUUUUUCCGUCAAAAAACAAAAAUUAUGUUUUUUUCCGCCAAAACCUAAUUUGAGUUUUUCCACCAAAACCACAAAAUCAAGUUUUCCCGCCAAAACCGCAAAAUCGAGUUUUGCUGUCAAAACCGGCAAAUCAAGUUUUCCCGCCAAAACCACAAAAUCGCGUUUCCCGCCGAAACAUCAAAAUCAAGUUUUCCGCCGAAACCGGCAAAUCGGGGUUUCCCGCCGAAACCACAAAAUCUAGUUUUUCCCCUCAAAACCGCAAAAUCGAGUUUUCCCGCCAAAACCGCAAAAUCGAGUUUUUCCGUCAAAACGGCAAAAACGAGUUUUCCCGCCGAAACCGGCAAAUCGAGUUUUUCCGCCGAAGCCGCAAAAUCGAGUUUUUUCGCCAAAACUAAAACCGCAAAAUUGAGUUUUUCCACCGAAGCCGCAAAAUCGAGUUUUUUCGCCAAAACUAAAACCGCAAUAUCGAGUUUUCCCUCCAAAACCGGCAAAUCGAGUUUUUCCGCCAAAACCGUGAAAUUGAGUUUUACGGGUUUUCCAGAAAAACUUAAUUUUACGUUUCACGGGAAAAUUCGAUUUUGAGGUUUUGGCGAAAAACUCGAUUUUGAUUUUUUGACGGGAAAACUCAAUUUUGAAGUUUUGACGAAAAACUCGAUUUUGCGUUUUUGGAGGAAAAACUCGAUUUUGUUGUUUUAGUUGAAAACUCGAUUUUGCGGUUUCGACGGAAAAUUUCGUUGUUUAGUUUUUGGCGAGAAAACUCGACUCUAAGUUUUUUUUGGUGAAAAACAUUAUUAAAUAUUGUAUAAUAGUUAUGUGAAUCAAAAUAAAAUGGUUAGAAUUUAAACUCGGGUACUAUUAGGGGCCAGUCCUGUUUAAACUCUGUUUAAAAAAUGAGAGUUAGAGUUACAAAUGGGUUUCCCUGAUCUGAACACACUUUAUUUCAAAUCCAUAAGGCUGAAUCACCUGUUUCGGCGAUCUGAAGUUCAAACGUUUACUUUUAGAGUUGGACCGAUGAAUAUUAUUAGUUAAUGUCGCGGAGAGCAAAAAAAUUGACAUAGUGGAAAUGAUAAGGGACAAAAGAGGACAAGAUAAUGAUGAGAUUGAGUAAAACAAAAGUUGGACAGAGAUUGGAGAGUUAUAAAAACCAGAGAACAAAUGAUUGACAUAACUCCAAUUUUCAAAAUGCAUCGUAAAGGUGAGUUUCUACAAUAAGAUUGCGAUUACGUAUACUGUAAAUGGGUUUAGACUAUAAUAAAGGAAUUAAAUGUCGAAAGCCCAAAUAGCCCAUCUUCAUCUCCUCCGAGCUCAUCAUAAAACUCCUCAUCAAGUCCUUUUUUCAUCAAGACCAAACAAAUGUUUCAAUUCUCAAGAAACUCAGUCAUAGCAACAUCUACGUCCAAUGGAAAGGACACUAUAUAUAUACAGAAACAUACGGUACCGUAUAUGCAGAUGAGAUGCAAAUGCGCAUACAUGAUAAACCAAACACCGUUAUUGGUGUGUCCACAAGAGACAUACGUACGUAUAAGAUGAUAAUACAAACACUUGUCCAAAGAAUUUGGAGAAUAAAAACAUAGUAUAAAAUUAUAAUUAUAGCUAACAAUGUAAAAAUGAAACGAUAAUUUUGUUUUCUUAAAUUGAAUUAAAAAAACACAAGAAGAAUCUUAAUAAGAACAUCAAACCCAUACUACAAAUCACAAUCAAACUUCUACCUCAUAAACGAUGACCGAUCCAGAAACUUUGAAUUCUUCUUCAUAACUUUUUUUUUCUUCUUCAUAACUUCCUUUCUCCUAACACCCGUUUUUGGUUUCUCUUUUUCGCUGUAUCAGAACGGGCAAUGCCAUGAUCAUCACGUGAAGCUGAAUCUUUAGUUAUUGGAUCCACAUUAGCAGUGGUACUGCUGGUUUGGUAGUUUUGGAAAAUUCCCAAUAGGUUCUCCGGACUAAAUGCAUCUCUCGAAUACUUCGUCUCUAGAAUCUUCACUAUCUCCGAACUCACAAAGUGUCCUGGACGCAAAUCUACACAAUCUUUGUCAAACCCAAGCCCAAAUCUUUGAACAAGCAAGCUCCUUAUGAUUUGAAGCUCCUUAAGCUCGCCGAUUCUUGAUGCAGCAAAUAUCAGUCCAGCCAUUGCUUCUUUAGUUUCUUCUGGUAAGAGAUGAACAUCGCUGGAGAGAAAAACAUAAGUAAUUAGGGUUAUGGUACCGUGUGUCACAAGUUUUUAAAUGGUACCGUGUGUCACAAGUCAUGGAACAACUAACCUUUGACGAUCUAAAGGAGAAAAAUUCUGUAAUAUGGACGUGCAGAAGUAGUCGACUUGAUCAUAAGCUGAUAACAUUUUCUCGUCCUCGUAGGAUUGCCUCGUCUAUGGUAUGGAAAAUUUAAUUGUCACUUGUCAGAUAAGACAACUAGUGAUCCCUCAAGAUAUGGAUCAAAUAAGAAUACUUAAAUGGUGACUAAAAGUCUAAAAGUCAGAGCCAAUCUAGAGUAUAUAUAAUCAAGUGAAGUAUUGGUAGUAAAUCUCCAAAAAUUCUAAAGUUUUUUUAUAGAAAAUUGUCUAAGACCUCCAAACCCUUAUGUAGCAGCAUGAGAUUACAUACCUUACGACGUGCUUCCUGUAAGCGAUCGCUAUCAAGGAGCUUAGCGACAUCAGACCGGGACUGUUUAACCAUACAGUCUCUUCGUCUCCGAUGAAUCUUGACAGAACAUUGCAGACUCUGGAUAUGGAGUUUGCUACAAAUAAGAAAUACAUCAGAUUAAUCAACACUUAACAAUAAACAAAACCCUUUAUCGUUUAACGUAAGUAAACAAGGUUUCUUACCACUUUGAAGCUUGUCGCCAUCUUGAAGAACGAAACCAAACAGCAAAAACAUUACGAAAGCAUCCAGGCUUCGGUUCUUUAUUCUUGGCACACGCCGUUUCCUUCAUUCGGUUGGAAGAUGGAAAGAGCAUUUUUUAAAGAAACAUAGGAGUAAUAAUGAGAUGUUAAUGUAUCUACAGAAAAUAAAAUCUAUUAUAUAUUUACCCUUAUAAAGUGGAAAGCUAUUGAGUAUUAUGAUUUAUUUAUGGUACUAAAUCUGGGAAACACGGCUUUUCUUUUCCAAUAUGGAAUGUGAAAAUACUCUUGUUGGACCAACAAAAAAAAAAAGAAUUGUGAAAAUCCAAAUAGUUGUGUUAAUAGAUGAACAUUGAUACAUCUAGGCAUGGACUUUUGGGUACCUGUUGGUAUUCGGAUCAGAUUUUUCGGGUUUUCGGGUUUACGUUCCUAGGGUUCAUACUAAAAUUUUAUUAGUACGAGUCGGGUUCGGAUAAUAACACUUCAGGUUCGGUUCAAAAUUGUAUUGUGUCGUAAAACCCAUAAAGUAAUCAUAUAUCAUACAGAUUUGGGUUAUAUCGGUUCGUUUCAGAUAUAACUGAAGUAAAAAACAAAACUUUUGAAGCAAAACAUAAAGAAAAACAUCAAAAUUAAAUAAAAAUUAAUCUAUCACACAUAAAAUUGAUAAAAUAACAAUAAAAUGUUAAAUCAAGCAUGAAAACAAAUAUUAUUUGUAAAUAAUAUGUAUUGUCGUAUAGAGAGUAGACUAUUUAUUUCAAUGAACAAAUUAUAAAAUACUUAUUUAUAACUAAUUGGGUACUUAAAGCAUUUAUUAAAAAUUUAAUAUUUAUUAUUAUAUAUCAUAUUACCACAAAUAUUAAUUUUAAUAAUUGAAAUACUUAUAUAUAUUUCAAAAUAUUUAUAUUGACUAUUAAUUUCGGAUUUUUCGGGUUACUCGUUCGGGUUCGGUUAAUAACACUUCGGGUUCAGAUAUUUUUUGUACCACCCUACAAGACAUGUUCGAGUAUUAUUACAUUUUGGGUCGGAUAACGGAUCGGAUUUUUGGGUUUGGAUUUUGGGUUCUGGAUUUUAUGCCCAGGCCUAGAUACAUCAGUAACUUCACUAAUAAUAGGAACUCAAAAAGCAUUGCAUGAGUUCAUUAAUCAGCGGCAAUUCAAUCGUCGUUUGUUGAAUUAAUGAAAGCAACAUUGUGCGUUCUACCAUUGUAAAUCUGUAAUGCCUAUGUUGCGUUGAAAGAGGGUCUUCUUAAACAUCUCUAUAUAUAUAUAUAUAUAUGACGUCUUUGACAUAGAUCUACACGAUAAAAUACAAUAAAAUAAAAUCUAAGCAUUUUUUUAACAACAAAUGCAUAUUUUAAAAUGCAAACGCUAGAUGGCUAAGUCUGUUACAAUGGGAGAGAUAAUCAAAGAUAAACUGAUAAGUUAACAUAACUAAACCGAAAAAUAAAUGUGGCUUAAGAAAAAAACCCGUAGAAAAUUUUUAUUUAUAAUUCUUGAACCUCCGUUCGAAGGAACAAAAAAGUCGAAAUCGACGUCAAAAAGUUCAACCACUAAAUUUUGGGAUCAGUUGAAAGAUGUCUCCGAAGAUGCAUGGAUCUUCCGACAUUGCAAUGAAGCUAAGCAUCUAUUUCCAAAUCACUGUAAGAAAAUUUGUUACUGUAUCUUUAAAUAUUUAUUAUAUCUAAAUCUUAAAGACUUAAUGAAAUUAGUGGUCAUAUAAAGAUAUACAUAUCUCUUAUAUAUUAAAGUGCAAGUCGCCUAACGAAUUAAAAAUUGCCAUGUGGAAAAAAUUUAGAAAAAAAAAUAAUUGCCAAGUGGAAAAGUUUUACAAUUUCUUAAAAGCGUAAAUGCAAAAAAAAAAAAAGAAUUAAUGCAAAAACAUUUUCGUCUCUUUAUCUUAACUGUUUAAAAAAAUUAAUAUAUAUACUGAAAAUCCCUAAGAUUUCUCACCCAUGAACCCAUGAUUUUGUAACUGUUACUCUUUCUCUACAUCAACUCAAAAUGCCUAUAACUUAAACUGAUCUUUACUUGCUUUCAUAAGGUUUUAAUUCCUAAAUUCUUUGUAACAAAUUCUCUCUAAAAUACGAUGGAUCGAAAACUUCUAUCGUAAGCACAAUAUCAAAUCUACAACAUUGAGAAACAUUACAACAUUGUUUUGUAACUACGUGUCAUUAUGAAAAUGAAAUUCAGAAUAUUUAGAAAAUUAUUUUGGUCCAUCGUAAUUUAUAUUAUACUUUUCAUUAAACUAACUAUCAAAUUAAUAAAUAGUUUACAAAAGAAUAUUCUCGCACUUUCCUUAAAUAAAAGGUACGAAAUUACCUAAUAUGAUUAACGUAUAUAUGACAAUUAAUGAUUAUGAAUAAAAAAUAUUUGAUAACAAUUUUGUAUCUUAGCUCCUUUUUGUUUAAUUUUAUAUUAUUAAAAUAUAUUAAACAAUCAAAUUAACCACAUAAUAAAAAAAUUGUAUUUUAAAUUUUUAACAACGACUAUAAAUUAUUAAAAAUGUUAAAUAUCUCACACUAAAAUUUUGUGAUCAAUGGUUUAACUUUUUUUUUGUAAUAACAAAAUACAAAUGAUCAUAAAUAGUAUGAAUAUGAAGUCUCAUUUAAUAGAAAUUCAUAUUAUAUAUUAAUAUAGUUUAAAAUUAAACUAUAUAACAUAUAAAAAUACAUUAUUUUAAUUUCUAAAUUUGUAUUGAAACAAUAUUAAAACCUUAAUAUUUUAAUUUUGAAAUUUAAAUUGAAAAAAAUCACAUUAUAAAUUUUGUGUUUAUCAUAUGAAUAUGAAUUCUCAAUAAUAAAUAUUUAUAUUAAAAUAUACUAUAUAUUUAUGUCCAUGUGAUUGAAUUUUAGUUAUAUACAUAUAAAAUAAAUUAAAUGAUUGUGUUGAUUUAUUUAUCAAAAAAGAUCAUAAAUAAACAAAAUGUAUUGUUUUGAUUUAUAUGCUUACUCUAAUAUAAUUAUAUACAUAAUGCGUAAAUGAACACAAAUAAAUAUUAAUAUAUAAAAAAUUAUUUAUAUAUAUAAAGUUCAUUUCGCACAAUUGCGCGGGUGUUAACGUAGUAGAUAGUUAUGACUUGUGAACAGCCGGUUGUUGUGUGGGUUUAAUAAAUGAACAACAUUUACUGUCAAACUGUUAUUAUCUGAGUUGCUACUUGCUACUUGCUACUUGCUACGUUGAAGGGAAAGAAAGAUCAAAAUAAAGAGAGAGGUGUUUAAUCCCUUUAAUCUAUUGGUAGAGUAGGGAAGGGAUCCGUUACUACUGAUUGGGUGAACACUCUGUGGGCCUUUUACAUGCCCAUUUCUUGUUGAACUUUAGACCCAUUAAAAGUUCGACACAUCUAAUAAUAACAUCAAAACGUUGCCGUUUCUGAUCGUCAAACAAGCUAAAGCAGCUUGUCCCGUAGGUUUGACUUCUGUCCUAAAACCCUAAAAAUAAUUUAGCUGCUGUUUAAGCAAAUUAGAAAGAACAAAAAAAAACAAAUGGGGAAGAAGAGAAAGCACAGCGAGACCGAAGCGGCGGCGCCGGCGAAGAAGGACGAUUCAGCUCCGGAGAGACCCAAAAGGACUCUAUUGGGUUGGAAAGACAAGAACGAAGAUGCUGAGGAAUCUAAAGCCAAGGCAGCGUCUGCGUCUGGGUUCAGGAACAAAGAGAAGGUUCUCGUUACUUGCUCCCGACGGAUCAGUUUCAGGUAUCGGCAUCUGAUGCUGAACAUGGUGUCGCUAAGAGCAGUAAAGGCGCAACUCUUAAUGAGCUUGUUGAGCUUAAGGGCUCUUCUUCCUGCUUGUUUUUCGAGGUAAAGCUUCCAUCUUUUUAAUACGUAAGUCCCAGAAUCAAUUGAUACUCUGUUGUGGUCUGAUCUUUAAGUGGUCUUAAUUUAAUUUCAAGAAACUGAAGGUGUUGGUAUGUGUUUGUUUGUUUUGGUGUUCAGUGUAGGAAGCAUAAAGAUCUUUACAUGUGGAUGGUCAAGUCUCCUAGUGGGCCCUCUGUUAAGUUCUUGGUUAAUGCUGGUAACUUCUCCAGCACCUCGUACAUUUAACUCAUGUUUUAGCUUAUGUUUUGUUCGUCUCUGACUUAAAUUAUGUAUUAUGGUGAAGUUCACACGAUGGAGGAGCUGAAACUCACUGGAAAUCAUCUGAAAGGGUCACGCCCACUCUUGACAUUCUCAUCUAAUUUUGAUAAAGAUGUACACUGGAAGCUUUUGAAAGAGAUGUUAACGCAGGUUAUUAAUCCCAUUCACUUAUGUUCGUGGUUAGUUGGUUUGUACCGAUUCUAAUUAGGUUUCUCUUAUCUCUUGCAGGUAUUUGGAAUCCCCAAGGAACAUAGAAAGUCUAAACCGUACCAUGACCAUGUGUUUGCUUUCUCAAUUGUCGAUGACCAUAUAUGGUUCCGUAAUUACCAGGUUAGUUAAACAUUAUUAGCAUCCCAGAGAUCAUUUCCUUUUUUUAAACUUGAUUUAGCUAAGUGUAGGUCUGUUUUUAUUGUCACAUUGUAGAUAUCUGUGCCUCAUAACGAGGCAGACAAGGUUGCAAGAGGUGGUCUUGAUAAAAUGACUCUUGUCGAGGUAUAUGGAUAUGAUUAUUAGUCACAACACUUUGCGUUAUUCUGAUUGAUUGUUUCUGAUUGAAAUAUAAUUUUGUUGACAGGUUGGUCCAAGGUUUUGUUUGAAUCCGAUUAAGAUCUUUGGAGGCAGCUUUGGAGGUCCAACCCUUUACGAGAACCCAUUCUACGUAUCUCCAAACCAGGUACUUGGCUUCUCUCUCGCCACAUUUUGCUGAAUGCACCUUUUAAUAAUAUGGAAGUUAUACUAAUUUCUUUCAACGUUGUUACUCAGAUCCGAGCAUUGGAGAAAAGGAAUAAGGCUGGGAAGUUUGCAAAGAAAGUCAAAGCAAAAACAAGAAGAAAGAUGCAUGAACUCUCCAACCCAUUGGAGCCUGAUGAGUUCACAGUUUUGUCUCUACUCUUCCUUGUUAUGUUUUCUUCUCUCCCUAUCAAAAUGUGUUGUUCUGUUUUCAUGGAAUGAUAAGAGUUCAUUAUUUGCAAUAUAAAGUGUUUUUGCUUCUUUAUUGAUGUCUAUUUACACAAAAGAAGUGCGUUAACAUAAAAUGCAUCAGAACAAAAGAGCCAACUCAAGAACUGAACCAAUUAUAAGAAAAGAUCAACGGGUAUUAGCUAGAGCCCAGUUAGCUUCACUUCCUCUCCUAGGGAUGACACUUAUCUUAGAACAAGCAUCCACUUUAAAGUUAGCUCCACAUAUCACACCUUCGCUGUCAAUCCUCGGCAUCGCCUUCAUCUUGUUCUUCGGAUGUUCAAAGCUCUUGAGCCAUGUCUCACUGUGAAACAUACACCCUGCAAACACAACAACACACAAUCAUCAGACUCUCAAAUGUUGUUUCUUUAUAUUACAAGCUUUGUGUCUUUGCCUUACCAGUAGGGAAAUGAGCAAAUGAUUUAGCCGGAGAAAUGAGACGCCGGGCUGUUGAGCUCUUCCGGUGGGUGAGCAAAAGCUUUUUGAAAUAUUGCCAACAUUUUGAUUUUUCUUUGAUCAAAAUUUGAAUCUUUUGUUGUUUGAAUGUUUAUAAUAAGGAGAAAGUGUUUGAAGUAUAGAUCAUGAUUAACCUUGGUCUUUUAGUUGGAGUUUAAGUUUGGCUAAAAGAUGGUUUUUAGUUUUUCUUAGAUUUUAAAGAAAGAAAAGGUAAGAACCGUCUCUUAAUAGAAAAAUGUAAAAACAAACAGAAAAAUAUCAAAUCAUGAAUUAAAAACUCCUUCUAAAAAAUCAGGGUUAAUCAUGUCUGAAGAAUGUAUUUAUAUGGAUUAAUUCCACGUUAUGAUGACUUGGAUUUUAUUUUUGGAUAAGACCCAUCUCUGACAUGUCCUACGUGUUCUUAUCCAUUUCUUUUCUUAAUUUAUUCUUUAAUCAUCUGUCUUUUUCAGAAUCUAGUAAAUAAACAACCGAAAUCCAACAACUGAAAUCCAACAACUUAUUUAGAUUGUUUAUCUCUCUUUAGAAUGUUUUUUUCUUUUUUUUUUUGUAUAAAUGUUAAAUUUAUUCAAACUUGCAUCCCAAAAAUGCUGACAAACUUUAGGGGUUUUAUUAAUUACAUUCUAUGAAUAAAACACAUCAAUUACUUGGUCUUGAAGCUAACUAGGAACUAAGCCCUUCUUCAAACCAAGCGUCUCCCAACUUCUUUAAUAAACUGAAUCUAUUUUUCAUUGCUUUGUCAAUGUCGCUGAUCAGUUUCUGCGGUGUUGAAAGUGAACCCUCGUGCCUCUGAGUGUUCCUUUCUCUGCAUAGAUGAUAGAGUAGUCGUCUGGAACAUGUACUUGAUCGUGUAGCUUCGCAAUUUUGGGCCAGCUCGAACUGGUUAGCAAAGCCAAAAUCUCGUCUCAUUCAGUGGUGAAAGCAUCAUCAAGCAGACCCAAAAAGGAUGACUGUUUUUUUUUCUGAUAUCGCCACCUCUUAAUAACCUUAUUUAAGCUUGUAAAUGGUUAUAUUACUUUUUCAUUUCGGAUAAAGGUUUGUACUCAGUGGCCGAGUGCGGACGUAGGCUUCCGGUUACGGGGGAACGUGCCCCUACUCUUUUUAAUUUGAUUGAACGAUGACCCACAUGAUGAUGGGACCGUAUUAUAUAAAUUACGGAGAGCUGAAUAUUGUAAAGAAUAAAAUUGAUAAAAGUAUACCAAAGAUUAAGAAAAGGAUGAUACAACUGCAGAGGCGAGAUAUUAUCUCUUUCCUUAACUCAAAAUACGUCCCGUAGUGCGACGGUUUGAUAACGUAAUGAGUCUCAAGAUACAACUGCAAAAAUCUUCUGAUUUGCGUCACUCUAUCAGAAGCCUGGCGAAACUAGUUUUGUGUAUACUCUCAGACUCAAGGAAAAUAUCAAAGNNNNNNNNNNNNNNNNNNNNNNNNNNNNNNNNNNNNNNNNNNNNNNNNNNNNNNNNNNNNNNNNNNNNNNNNNNNNNNNNNNNNNNNNNNNNNNNNNNNNNNNNNNNNNNNNNNNNNNNNNNNNNNNNNNNNNNNNNNNNNNNNNNNNNNNNNNNNNNNNNNNNNNNNNNNNNNNNNNNNNNNNNNNNNNNNNNNNNNNNNNNNNNNNNNNNNNNNNNNNNNNNNNNNNNNNNNNNNNNNNNNNNNNNNNNNNNNNNNNNNNNNNNNNNNNNNNNNNNNNNNNNNNNNNNNNNNNNNNNNNNNNNNNNNNNNNNNNNNNNNNNNNNNNNNNNNNNNNNNNNNNNNNNNNNNNNNNNNNNNNNUCGGAAAAUUGGUCCACACCACUUUGUCAAAAACGAGUUCCAACAAUCCCCCACAUGAAUAGAAAUGACUCUAUACACAUGAUUCAAGAAGAAAAGAAAAAAAAACUUUUGAGAGUAUGAGCGAAAAAUCCACUGCAUGAUGAGUUGGUAGCAAUUUUUCAGCCUUGAACCAGUCAUUGUUAAUAGCUAUCGGAUUUACUCGAACAGGAGGUGGCCAUGAUGUCUUGAACCCCCCGGACUUUGGUGUAAACCGGACUUUGGUGCUUAUCCUCUAUUCCUCACAUGUAGCACUGUUUAAUCAUCAUAGGAACUGGGUAUAGACCGAAGUCUGACAGUGCUUUGGGCAGAUUUAGUUUGACUUAGUUGUCUCCUUGAACCUAUUUCUUGGGAUCUCCAGUCAGUUAGGUAGAGUUACCGCCAAACCUCAUCUUAGUUCACAGGCUUUAAACCCAUUCCUCUUGAUGAUUUUUCUACUUGAUCUCGUGACAAACCUUUAGUAAAUGGAUCCGCAAGGUUUUCAUUUGUUCUGAUGUAAUCAAUCGUUAUUACACCAGUUGAGAUCAAGUGUCUAAUGGUUUUAUGACGUCUUCUUAUAUGACGAGAUUUACCAUUAUACAAACUGCUCAGUGCCCGGCCUAUUGCCGCUUGGCUAUCACAAUGUAUACGUAAUGCCGGCACUGGUUUAUCCCACAUAGGAAUAUCUUCCAAAAAAUUUCGAAGCCACUCCGCUUCUUCUGCAGCUUUAUCUAAAGCUAUGAACUCAGAUUCCAUGGUCGAUCUGGCCAAGAUAGUUUGUUUGGAAGGCUUCCAAGAAACUGCAGCACCACCAAGUGUAAAGACAUAUCCACUCGUGGAUUUAGAGUUUUUGGAGUCGGAAAUCCAGUUGGCAUCACUGUAUCCUUCCAAAACUGCUGGUUCUUUACCAUAGUUCAGCCCAUAAGUUUUAGUAUGACGUACAUAGUCUAAUACUCUUGUUAUGGCAUUCCAGUGGUUAUGCCCUGGAUUACUCGUGUAGCGACUCAGUACAUUGACUGCAUGUGCUAAAUCAGGUCUAGUACAAUUUGUCAAGUACAUCAAACUUCCGAUGACACGAGCAUACUCUGACUGUAACACAGCUUCACCCGAAUGUUUUGUCAAGUGAAACCUAGGGUCUACAGGAGUUUUUGCCUUCCCUUUUGAGUAGGAUUUAAACCUCUCAAGUAUUUUUUCAGCAUAAUGAGUUUGAGACAAGAUGAUUCCUUCGAAAUUGCGAAAGAUCUUAAUCCCUAGGAUAACAUCAGCUAGUCCCAUAUCUUUCAUUUCGAACUUGCUACUUAGCAUGUUCUUUGUUUGACUGACCAUGUCUUUAUUGCUACCAAUAAUGAGCAUGUCAUCUACAUACAAGCCAAGCAAUACAUAUCCAUAUGGUGUAUUUUUGAAGUAUAUACACUUGUCACAUUCAUUAAUGCUGAAACCAUUUGACAUCAUAACAUUGUCAAAUUUUUCAUGCCAUUGUUUUGGAGCUUGCUUAAGUCCAUACAAUGACUUCACUAGUCGACAGACUUUGUGUUCUUGUCCUGGGACAACCAACCCUUCAGGUUGUUGCAUAUAAAUCUCCUCUUCUAAAUCACCAUUUAGAAAGGCAGUUUUGACAUCCAUCUGAUGGAUUUCUAGGUUUCUCAAUGCUGCAAUCGCAAUCAGCAUUCUGAUUGAAGUUAUUCUCGUUACCGGAGAAUAGGUGUCAAAGAAAUCCAAGCCUUCUUUUUGCCGGAAACCUUGCACCACAAGUCUACACUUGUACUUAUCAGUUGAGCCAUCAAUAUUCAACUUUCUUUUGCAAAUCCAUCUACACCCUAGGGCCUUAAACCCUUGGGGCAAAUCGGUCAAAUAAUAUGUAUGAUUUUGCAUAAUGGAGUCGAUUUCACUAUUGAAAGCUUCCUUCCAUAAAUCAGCGUCUGGUGAAGACAUAGCUUCAGCGAAACUUCUUGGUUCAUUCUCAAGAAGAAAGACCAUAAAGAAAUCUUCACCAUAAGAUUUUUCCUUACGAGCUCUUUUGCUGCGUCUAGGUUCAUCUGCAAAUAUUUCUGCAUCAUGAAAAGAUGUACCAGAAGUACUUGCCUCAUUUGUAAAGAUGUCUGCAUCUCUUACUUCACGAGUUCUUUUAAGAUUGUCUCUAUUCUUACACGGAAACACGUGUUCAAAGAAAGAUGCAUUCCUUGAUUCCAUAAUUGUAUUAACAUGAAUAUCUGGUACAUCUGAUUUAUCAACCAAAAAUCGAUAAGCACCACUAUUAUGGGCAUAUCCAAUGAAAAUAAAAUCCACAGUUUUAGGUCCGAUUGAAACCUUCUUGGGAGGUGGUACUGCUACUUUUGCAAGGCACCCCCACACUUUCAAGUAUUUGUACGAAGGUACAACACCUUUCCAAAGUUCAUAUGGUGUUUUACCAGUGACUUUGUUCGGUAUUUUGUUGAGGAUAUAAUUUGUGGUAAGCAUAGCUUCCCCCCACAUGUUCUGGGCUAACCCAGAUUCCUGCAACAUCGCAUUCAUCAUCUCUUUAAGAGUUCGGUUUUUACGCUCCGCAACUCCGUUAGAUUCAGGUGAAAAGGGAGCGGUGGUUUGAUGAAUAAUGCCAUGCUCUUUACAGAACACAUCAAAUGGUCCAUCAUACUCGCCUCCUCUAUCACUUCGAACUAUCUUUAUAGUUCUAUCGAGUUGGUUUUCAACCUCGAGUUUAUAUUCCUUGAAUUUUUCCAAGGCUUCAUCUUUACUUCUUAGCAAAUAGACAUAACAAUAUUUUGUACAAUCAUCUAUGAAAGUCACAAAAUAUUUUUUUCCAUUUCGAGUUUGAACAAAUUUUAAAUCACACAAAUCUGUAUGAAUUAAACCAACAGGUUCUGUUGUUCUCUCAACAUGAGGGAAUGGAGUUUUAGUGAGUUUUGCUUGUACGCAUACUUCACAUUUCUCUUUUCUCAAUUUGCAUUUCGGAAUUAGGUUUAAAUUAAUCAAUCUUUGAACAGAUUUAUAAUUUACAUGCCCUAAUCUUUCAUGCCAAACUUUGAACGGUUCAACCAAAUAAGCAUUUGGUUCAUUUGUGAAUAAGACUGUCUUAAUACACAUUUUGACCAGUCCAUUCUCAACAAAUCCUUUGCCCAAGAAAAUAUCAUUUUUCUUUAGCACAAGUUUAUCAGACUCGAAAGUUACUACAAAUCCAGCUUUGCUUAGUAGCGAACCGGAAAUAAGAUUCUUUCGCAUAUCUGGGACAUAUUUCACGUUUUUAAGAAUUAUCUCUUGUCCAAAAGUUAGCGCAAGUUUCACUUCGCCACAACCUUCAAUAACGGAUGAGCCGGUGUUACUCAUUAACAACCACUGCUUAUCAUUACAUUUCUGAUAGGUACUAAACAUGUCCUUAUCAAUGCAUAUAUGAGUGGUGGCACCUGUGUCAUACCACCAGUCUUUUGAAUUAUUUUCAAUCGUAUUGAGUUCUGUGACCAUAGCACACAUGUCAUUUUCAGUUAGGUUGCCAUAAGGCAUCUUUUUGUCAAGCUUGUUACCUUUGUAAGUUUUAAGCAUUGAUGGAAUUUGAAUGUUCUGAAUUAUUUCAGCAAACAUUUCAGUUCCCAUGGCAAAUGAAAUCAUAAAUGGCAGACCACUCUCAAAUUUAAUUUGAGGCGUCGACUCAUUCAAUCCAUUGCCGAUCACACCACUUGAUCUAUCAAGGAUCGAUAUACUUGUGUUGUAAGACAUACUUUAAUUUUGAAUCUGCUUAUAAAACUCAAAAAAAAAUAGUGUAUUUUAAUAUCAAAUAUAAGAAACGAUCCAAUUAAAAAAAAUAGAAUAAUAAAUUCUAAAACUUUAACGGUGCGACUAACAAAAUGCAGUGACAAAAAUAAACCGGAUUGAUUGCUAAUCAAACGUAAAGUCAGAAAUUAUCAACCGGUCAAAUAUUAAAAUAAACUUACUUACUUUACCACUAGAACGAAAUGUAGAUAAUAUCAAUAAACAAAGAAACGAUUGAUUGCUGGUUGGCAAUUAAAUUAAACCAGGAACGUAAACCAAAUAAUUGAACCACUACAGAAAUCAACCUUUGACAAACAAAAGACAGCAAUAUUUUUCCUUUUACUCUUGACGUUAAACAAAAAAAAAACGACGAGGUUGAAGAAAACGAUUUAUAUAUUUUUUAAACACUUUUAACCAAAUCUGAUUGAAAUCCUGUUUAGAAAUAUCAAUACAGAAGCGUAAAUUGCAUAAAUAUAUAAAAAUAAUCCAAGAGAUCCUGCAAAAAAUACCAAACGUAAGAGUAUCAACUUUAAGCAAUACCAAAUUUCUAGAUGAAGGAGACACGGAUCUGAUUCCGACACCCUUAUAGAAAUAUCGAUCAACACCUGUUCUUAAAAAAACAACUUUUACAAUAAUCAGUCCGGUUAGUGCAAAGCAAUAAACAGAUAUUUUGAGUUAAGACUGAUGGGACCGUAUUAUAUAAAUUACGGAGAGCUGAAUAUUGUAAAGAAUAAAAUUGAUAAAAGUAUACCAAAGAUUAAGAAAAGGAUGAUACAACUGCAGAGGCGAGAUAUUAUCUCUUUCCUUAACUCAAAAUACGUCCCGUAGUGCGACGGUUUGAUAACGUAAUGAGUCCCAAGAUACAACUGCAAAAAUCUUCUGAUUUGCGUCACUCUAUCAGAAGCCUGGCAAAACUAGUUUUGUGUAUACUCUCAGACUCAAGGAAAAUAUCAAAGAGAAAGAAGAGAAAAUAAUAAAUAAUUGUCUCGGGUGUGUUGCUUUCUACACAAGUGCUCUCCUUUUAUAAUCAAAAGGAAGUGCACGUUAUGCAAUCUAAGGAGUCAGCCAACGUACGAAUCAAUUGUAGUAAUGGCAUUGAUUUCCUAAUCAAAAGGAAGUGCAUGUUAUGCAAUCUAAGGAGUCAGCCAACGUACGAAUCAAUUGUAGUAAUGGCAUUGAUUUCCAAGAUUCUUGUAAGUUAGCUUUGCAAAGUAAUGUCUUGAUUUUGACCAANNNNNNNNNNNNNNNNNNNNNNNNNNNNNNNNNNNNNNNNNNNNNNNNNNNNNNNNNNNNNNNNNNNNNNNNNNNNNNNNNNNNNNNNNNNNNNNNNNNNNNNNNNNNNNNNNNNNNNNNNNNNNNNNNNNNNNNNNNNNNNNNNNNNNNNNNNNNNNNNNNNNNNNNNNNNNNNNNNNNNNNNNNNNNNNNNNNNNNNNNNNNNNNNNNUCGGAAAAUUGGUCCACACCACUUUGUCAAAAACGAGUUCCAACACAUGAUUAAUAAGUGCCAAUUCCACAUUUUUUAUGCAAUUUUCUUUUUGUUCUAAGUGGCGUUGGCUUUUCACCUGUAAUGACAAUAUAGCCUUGAGCUACGUCGUAGGAGACGAAAGUAAAAUGCUGUAAAUUUCUAGUUUACAUUUUUUAUUUUAAUUAAAAAGUUUUGGGGGUCCUUAGCUGGAAAGGGUGAUAUAGUCCUUGAGCGCAGACGAACGAUUUAUAUAAUAUCUUUAGAUCAAAGAUUGCAUAAAAUACUUGAAAUGCAACCAAGAACACAGAAAGAAACUCAUCAUCUCCAACUGCAUUUCUCUGAAAGUUUAUGUUUCAUUUUCUUCCUCAACAUGGCCGCCAUGGAUUUCCACAGUAUGCGGAGAAGAGAUCUUCGAUUUCUAUGACGGGAAAACAUAAUAUCGGACGAUACGAGCAAGAUCGCCAUGGCCGCUGCUCUCAAAGUUCUUGAGAUAGUAAGUUUCUUUUCUCAUUUAUUCUGAUUUUAUGGUUCGCGCUCGGCCUUGUUCACAGAUUCUUCAAUCCUGAAAGAUAAUUUUCUUGGAAGUCAGGGAUGCUUGCUAGACCAGUGCGAGUGCGAGUACGAUUCGAUCGUUUCUUUGAGUAGUUGUAGAUAUGGCAUUGACGAAUAUGUUCUAGUCUAGUGAUUUAGUGGUUGUUGUUUCUACGAAAAUGAUUCCAUGCAUUUUCUUGAUCUUGACUAGUUUUGCUGAACAAAUUCGUUGACUGAUCAAUGGUUUCGUUUGUACGCUCUCUGCUGCCUAUUUAGACAGAACAACAUGGUGUGUUUUACUCUUUGGAUAACCUUUGAAAUCAAUCUCGAGUCAGAUUUGUUUGAUGUUAAUAUGUUGUUUGAGAGGACAAAACCUUGGAAACGAUUAUCACUAUUUGUUUUCCAUACUUUGACUUUGUGAUUUUCAUGUUCAGAGAACCGAGUUGUUGAGUCAGUCUUCAACCACUGCAUUGCCAACUGGUGGUGGAUCGACUAAAAGUAUGACCAUUAAGACUCGAUCGUCAAAUCAUCAUCAGUUUUACCGAAUUAACUCUAUUUAUCUUAUCUAAUCUUUAUUAUUUUUAAUAGAAUAUACUAUUCUAUAUUUGUUUCAUAUUUCAGUUAUGCUAAGUGUAAUAUUUUUUUAAAUUAAUCUUAGUAGGUCAAACUUAUCUUUGUUUUGAGUAUAUUAUAGAACAAAAUUGAGUUCCUUGACUAUUUUAUCUAUGAAAAAAUCAGUUAUAAAAUUUUAUUUUGAAAACUUGCAGUAAGACUAAGUAAAAAAAUAUUAAAUUUUAUAUAUUUUUGGUUAACUUAUUUAUUUACUUUAUUUUAUAUAACGAUAUUUUCCUGUUCUAAAUGGUUUUUUAGUUAACUGAUUUAUGCUAGUUUAGUUUUUUAAUUUUCUUUACAUUUUAUUCAUUUAUGACAUCCGAAAAUGUUGACACGACUAUGAGAAUAAGCCAUAUUCCAAAGACAAUGAAAAGGACAAAGCCGUUGCAGAAAAGAAGACAAGAACUGAAGAAGAAUUAAUUCUCUAGCAGCCAAGGAUUUACCAUCUUCUUCUUCUACACGUGGAGUUGCUAGAAGUACGAGCAAAGCUGCAUCAUCCAUGCCUCAGUCGGUCCAGCAUAAGCCAUCUUCCAAGGACAAAGAAAAGGGAAAAAGAAAAGUCGUGGUAGAAGAGAAGUCAGAAGCUGAAACAUGUAGACUGAAACUCCUGUAGCAAAUAUCUUAAUCAGACUCAACCAAUAUCCUCGUUGAUGGUUCUCCAAACUCAAGAAUGCAUUGAAGACCUACGGUUUCAUUCAAAGUAAACCAGACUACUCACACUUCUCCUACAUUAUUGGCAAAAUCAGUCUUCACAUCCUAGUUUAUGUAGACGAUUUUAUCAUAUUUGGCAGCAAUCUCUUUACACUUCAGAAAUUCAAGAACUAUCUUAAUUAGUGCUUCAAGAUGAAAGAUCAGGCAAGCUGAAGUAUUUUUUUGGUAUUGAGGUCGCUCGCAAAAAAAAAAAUGGCAUUUUUAUCUCGCAAACCGUCCGCAGUUCCUAUCGAACUUAAUCACAAACUUUCUCUUGCAGACAGCCAACCUCUCGCAAAUCCAGCUCCUUAAAGACGGCUUGUGGGCAGGUUGAUCUACUUUACGUUUACUCGUCGAGAACUUUGCUAUGCUGUCCAUAUUCGUUCCCAUUUUAUGAAGAUACCGAGGCAAGAACAUUGGGACGCAGCUCAACGCGUCAUGCGAUAUCUUGAGGUCUGUCCUCUCUCAAGGAGUUCUUUUACGAUCAGACUCCACUUUGUGUGUAAAUACAAACUGUGAUGCCGACUGAAAUGCAUGCCCUUUGACUUGCCAUUCUUUGAGUUCUUACAUUGUCUUAGUGGGUUCGUUGGAAGACUAAGAAACAGAAUAUUGUUUCUGCCUCGUCAGCAGAAGCUGAAUACCGUUUAAUGGUAUACACCUUACGCGAGCUGAAAUGGAUGAAGCGGAUUCUUGCUUCUUUUAGCGUACCACAUAAAGGGCCCAUGAAAAUGUUCUGUGAUAGUUUUUUCGGCCACAUAUAUUGCUGCAAAUCUUUUUUUCCAUAAUCGUACAAAACAUAUAGAAAAUGAUUGUCAUCAGAUUCGAAAUGCUGUCCAAGAGAAACUCAUUACGAUGGAACAUAUCUCAACAAAGGAGCAAGAAAUUUCAUCGUCAAGUCUCUACCGUCUAUUACUUUCACUUAUCUACUGUCUAAAUUAGGGAUUCAAUACAUUUUUUUUUUGGCAGCAAACGGCUAUUCUAUUACUCAAACUUGAGGUGGUCUGGGGAGCCAGACCGGAAUAAAACAACUAAUAAAACAUAGAGAUCUAUGAAAAGAACGUGCAUUCCUUGCUAACGAAUCUGCAAUCUCAUUUUGUGUCUUUGGUAAAUAGCUGAUCUUGAAGUCCGAAAAGUACAACCGAAGAGUUUGAAUGAUUUCCAGCUCAGUUGAGAAGUUGGGCCAAGCUUGUGGCUCUUGUAUCAUUGCAAUCAGGUCCAUGCAAUCAGUCCCAAAUCUCUGACAGUUCGAGUGUUGUAUCAUGCUCUCCAUUGCCCACCUUAGCGCUUCUAGCUCUGAGUGUAAAGGUGUUUCUCACCGCAUUAAGUUCCUGGAUCCCAUAAGUUGAAUCUUCCCCAUACUAUCCUUCCAGACCCAUCCCAUUCCACUGAACUGAGCUGUGGAGGUCCACGAACCAUCCACCAUGCAAAUAUUACCCAAGCUUACGGCAUGUGGUUCUUCUUCAGGCUGUCCCUGUAGAGGAGGUGAUAUAAUUUCCUUUGCAUUAUGCCAAGCUUGGCAUUCACUCUCUACAUACCUGACUAGUUCCAAUGGGUCUCUAUCUAUGCCUCUGAACAACUUAUCAUUCCUGGCUUUCCAGAUGUACCAAAUUAUCCAAGGAUAAGGAUCUAUAUCAUCUUCCGGCUUCAUUAUAUUAUUCUUCCUCCAGAAAAGAUAAUCCAUGUUAGCGUAAACACUUGGGACAGGAAAAGUUUGAGAGCUCGAUGGUGUAGAAGAUAAUUCCCAUGCUUGUAAGGCUGGUGGGCAUUCAAAGAUCGCAUGAGUAACAGUUUCUUCUGGCUCUCCACAUCCUGGGAAAUAGUUAUCACAUCUCACAUUGCGGCGUGCCAAAUUCCUUGUAACCGCUACCUGUCCAGAAAUUAAUUGCCAUAUAAGAUGGCAAAUUUUUUUGUGGCGCAUUCACUGUCCAGGCAAAGGCUUGGAGUUUAGUUAUACUAGGCUGUAGGAUUUCUAAAUCCUCAUCUGUUCGCAUCAAAUUCGUAGCAACCCAAUAUCCAGACUUGACCGUAUAUUGACCAUUUUUGGUGUAGCUCCAACAAAAAGUAUCUCGUCGGUGAGUAGGGCUUAUGGCCAAACUCUGAAUCAUCGGAAUGUCUUCUUGAUCCACAUAUUGUUCCAGUAGUCGUGCAUCCCACUCCUUUGACUCAAAAUCAAUAAGACUGCUGACGGUCAUCUUGGGGUGUACAAUUGGGACUCGUGAGCGCGCUGGCCUUGCUGGCGUCGAAGGAAUCCAGGGAUCUUCCCACACAUUAAUUUCAUAUCCUGAAUGCACCUUACUCUUGAUACCCAAAAGUAGUAGCUUCCUCGCCGCUAUAAUACUCGUCCAUACAUACGAUGGGGUAUCAACUGCGCCAGUUUGCAAAGGUGAACUUAGACGGUAAUAUUUCCCCCGAAUAACUCUCGCCACUAAUGAAUCUGGAAAUUGAACAAGUCGCCAGAGUUGUUUAGCUAAGAGAGCUAGAUUGAAUUCGUGGAUCAUACGGAAACCAAUUCCUCCCUCUUCUCUAGGCGCACACAUUUUCUCCCAUUUUGCCCAGUGGAUUCCUCUUUUUGGCGGGUUCGAACUCCACCAGAACUGUGCAAUGACACUUGCUAGGUUUUCACAUAUCUCCAAAGGAAGCAUGAAACUGGACAUGACGUAAGGAGGAAGAGCUAGCAAGAUAGAUUUGAUUAGGACCUCUUUUCCUCCCUUUGACAGCCAUCUACCAGUCCAACCAUUCACUCUGUGUAGUAGCUUUUCUUUUAGGAAUGCAAAUAGCUUACACUUUGAUCCACUAAUAUCCUCUGGGAUUCCUAAGUAGGAACCCAUGCCGCCUUCACUCUGAAAACCAAGAGUAUAUUUGAUCUGUUGUCGAUCAUUUGCUAGAAUCCUUUUACCAAAGAGUAAUGAGGAUUUGUCGAAGUUAAUACAUUGACCUGAUGUUUUCCCAUAUGUCCUGACUACUUUCAUAACUUCUUCACAUUCACGGGACUCCGCCUUACAGAAGAAAAGGCUAUCAUCAGCAAAGAGGAGGUGAGAUACCGAGGGGCUAGCGCGUGCGACACGCAUUCCCGUUAUCUUCCCUUGAUUCUCUGCGUGAUUAGGAAGGCUAACGAGCGUUUCCGUGCAUAGAAUAAAUAUGAAAGGAGACAAAGGAUCUCCUUGACGUAAACCUCUCCCAGAGACAAUGUUUCCCCUCGGCUCACCAUUCAUGAGUACUUUAUACUUGACCGAAGUGAUGCAUCUCAUAAUCCAGCCUAUCCAUAUCUCCGAGAAUCCCAUCUUUCUCAUGACUGCCUCAAUGAAAGACCAUUUCAUCCGAUCGUAUGCUUUACUCAUAUCAGUUUUUAUGGCCAUUCUCUUAACUCUCCCUCCCGGUUUUGUUCGCAAUGCGUGGAACAUCUCUUGUGCUAUCAUUAUAUUAUCUGUGAUCUGUCUUCCAGCAACAAAGGCUGACUGAGUCUCAGAUAUUCUCUGUGGCAGAACCUUCUUUAAUCUUUGGCAUAAGACCUUAGAUAUUAUCUUAUAGCUGACAUUACAUAGACUGAUAGGUCUAAAUUUUGUCAUUUCAUUCGGCAUUGUAGUCUUAGGGAACAAACAAAUAUUUGUGUCAUUCAGACCCUGUGCCAUUGUCCCUUCAAAGAGAAACUGGUUAACCAUACGAGUUAAGUCUUCUUUGACAAUAUCCCAAAACUUCUGGUAGAAAAGGGCUGUCAUUCCAUCUGGUCAUGGGGCUUUCUCUGGAUGCAUAGCGAACAAAGCUAAUUUGACCUCCCAUUCGGUUACUGGAGCUGUAAGGUUUUCGUUUACAUCCCCAGUAAUCGUCGUCGAAACCUCUGCAAGCGCAUCAGCUAUAUCUUCUGGGUUAGAAGACUCAAAUAUUUUCCUAAAAUAGCUAGUAGCAAUGGCUACUAAUCCCUCCUCAUCCUCCACCACAUUUCCAUUUUCAUCGAGGAGCUGAGUUAUCCUGUUAUGUGCUCUCCUUUGCUUUACUAGCGCAUGAAAGUAUUUUGAAUUCCUGUCGCCUUCCCUUAACCAUAGGACCCUACUUUUCUGUCUCCAAAACAACUCCUCUGCCUUAAGAGCAGUAGAUAGUUCCUUUAGAGCUUCUGAUAUUUCCUCAGAAGUAGCAUCAUCAUUCUCAUAAAGACCCUCUACCUUCUCCUUUAGCUCCUCCACUAGCUUUUCUGAGUUCAUAUUGUUUUGCCUCCUCCAUUAGCUCAAAGCUUUCUGACAGCUAGCAAUAUGUUUCAUUAUAUUUGCUCCAGGAGGAAGGUCCUCAGACUUUCAUCCUUCCAGAAUAACUUGCCUUACCUCCUCAUUGUCCAACCAACGUUUAUCAAAUUUAAACUUCUUUUUUCUCCUUACUAGUUUUGUGAGAAUAUCUGUAAGGACCGGACGAUGAUCCGAACCCCAGAACCUGAGAUACUUGACAGCUGAAUGAGGAAACUUUUCAUACCAAUCCUCAUUACCCACAGCUCUAUCUAAUCUGCUUCUAAUAGUUGUCCCUCCCGAUCUUUUUCCAACCCAGAAAAGCUUGUUCCCACUAAAUGGAAAUUCUAGCAUUCCACAAUUACUUAGCAUUUGUUUGAAAGGUAAGAAAGAACUAUCAAGACAUUUCAUUGCCGACCUGAGGGGUAUAGAGAUGAGAACUAUAUUUAGAGAUAAAGAUAUAUAAGCAUUAAUAUAAAUCAACACUUUUACAUUAUUUUAAGGCCUCAAAAAUUCACACUGUAAGUAUCUAUGAUCCACCGAACCGUAUAUAUAUAUCUUUGAUACAAUCCCAUGAAUCAAAUAAAAAAAAAGAGAUCAAACAUAUCAAUCCGGUUCAUACAAACAUGUUUGAUUAUGUACCUUUGUAUCAACAAAGUUGGUUACGAGACCGGCCACAAUGGAGAAAGAUCUCGGUAGGUUCUAAGCAGGUACGGAGUGAGUCGUGACCAAGCUGAGCUCUUUCAUUAUCUCCAAAACCGAAUAUGCGUCCAGUUUGCGUGACCACAAUGGUGUGAUACAAACCGGUGCUAACUUGAGAGACACGGUGUGGUUUCAGACUCUCCAACACUCUCGGCCUCAGGACUUUGUCUGAAACUCCUCUGUCCGGGAACCCAAGGCUUCCAAAUCCCAUCCACCCAAACCCAUACAAUACUCCACCUUCCACUAAUACAAAUGUCUUCCUCUUUCUUGCACACACCUGCACGCCAAAGCAAACUCAUGAUUAGGACAUUUCUAAGCCGGUUAAACCGAUCCAAACUGAACCAAAACCUAACCGAAGUAACCGAAAUAACAGAAUCUAAAGCCGGAUCACAUAUUAGCUCCCUGAGAAAACAUACUAGGAAGAAUGUCUAACCUGGACAACAAGGCAGUUGUUGAGACUGACCAAAACUUGAGGAGUGAUCUUGUCGUUUUCGUCUCCAUGGCCUAGAGCACCGCAGUAGCCUUUACCCCAUGUGUAUACCUAAUACGUUUAAAAGAACAAUCAAAACAAGAUUCUUCUGAUUUCUCAAAACCAAGAGAGAGAUGGAAACAAAGAACUUACACGGCCAUUUGAAUCAAGUGCCACGGCGUGUUCAUCCCCUGCAGAGACACGGAGUAUAUGAACACCUUUUCUUUUAAAAGCCUGAAUAACACGUGGCUGGUGCUCGUCCUGCUGCUCUCCGUGACCAAGACAGAAGCUAGAACCAGAGCCAAACGAGUAAACCGAGCCAUCCUGCGUCACAGCUAGCACAUAGCUCGGUCCAGCUGCAAUUUGCACCACAGGGCCAACGCUUUGGAAAAAUUCAACAGCUCUGGGUAUUGGACUGUCCAAGGUAUCGCCAUGACCAAGCUGUCCAUGUGUGUUUGAUCCACAUGUGAACACACGCCCUUCCCUUGAUAGAAACACAGUGAAGUGCAGCCCCGCAGCAACCUGGUAAAGAAGAUGAGUUUGUUAAUGUUUCCUUAACCCAAGUUAGAAAAUCAUUUGGUAUCAAUCUUACCUGCUUACAGGGAGUUCCCUUCAAAGCCUCAACAAGCUUAGGCCUAAAUAUUGGACGGCUAGUAUCUAAGUGACCACAGCAAUGCGAUGAGUUAUCCCCACAUGUAAGAACCUGAACCGCAUUUCAAAAAGAUAAGUGAGUAUGGAAAGCAAAAAAAUAUACUUUCUAGAAACAGAAGCUGCCAACGAACCUCUCCAGAUUGCAACACGAAAGCAGAAUGGUUCUGUGUGGCUGAGACCUGAGCAACUUUAGCAGAGAACGGGAACUCUAUAGGCGUAAAUGCUACACAUUGAGUAGUUUCUGGGCCAUGAGCAAGAACACCAGACAAACUCGAACCACAAGAGUAGACUUUUGAGUUGUUGAUUAGCAACGUGUGAUACCUCCCUGUUGUAACUUGCAUCUGCAGAAAGAAUCAAAGAAAAUGCAUUUGAGAACCUGUAAAAAAAGCAAAGAGAGAAACAAGCUGAAACCAUACAUUGCCUGCAGAGGUUUGAACCAUAUCUGAGGACUGCUCAACAGACUGCAAGAACCUCAAAAGCCUCUUCCAGUUCCCCUCACAGUUAGCAAAGAGCUCUUUCUGUGUAGUAAACCCCAUCCCCACGUACACAGGAUGCACAGAGCAGAGCUGAGACGCCGCGUAAUCAACUAGCGAUCUAAAUUUCAAAGGGUACGACAAUCCAGAGCUUCCUCCAAAUACCUUAGAGGUCAACUCCAAGCUAAGUAGAUCAACCGCGUUAAGCCGGCGUGAGGUUAACACCUCCAAGAUCAAAUGAGAAGGGAGAUCCUCUAACGAAACCAACCAGUUCCUCUCAGCCAUUUUUCUAAGAAGAGAGCUUUCAAACCACCACCGAAAUUCACCUGAACCCAAAACAGAGAAACACGCAAGCAAUCAACCAAACAGAAAAAAAAAUAGAGAAAGAAUCUUUCGAUCGAAUAUCAAAACAAUCAAGAGGAGCAGAAGAAGAGGAAGAGUAAUGUGAAAUGCGUGACAGCGAACCUGGAAAGCAAAAGCUCUUGACUUUAUCGGUGCCGAAACUUGCCACUAAUGAAAUCAAAAGUCUAAUAAGAGCUUCCUUUUUAUAUAAGAAGAAGGGUGAGAAGACGUGUGAAGAGGAAUAUUAAAAAAAAAUUAGGGAGAAAUCAAUAUCUUGCUGCUUAAGCUUUCUUCUUUUGUGGCGAUUCUUCCUCUCUGUCAUAUAGAGCUAGUUCGCAGAAUAUUUUGAGAGGCUUGGUCAUCGUCUUGACACUGUUUUUGUCUUUUAAAAAUUAUUUUAAUUUUUUUCAUAUCUGUGUUUAUAAUUGGUAACUUGUUGCCACCAUUUUUUGUUUUUUUAUUAGUUAAUAAUGAAAUUAUAAAAUUUAAAAGAUUAUGUUUAUUAAAUUAUUAUUAACUUAAAUAUUAUUGAAAAGUGUUGAUCCUAGUAAAUAAAUUUAUAAUUUUAAAAUUUUAAUGUGUAAAAACCUAACUAUAAUUAGAAAUAAUCUCUAUAAUUAUAUCUAAUCUAUUAAUUUAGGGUCCUAUUUUUUAUUACUUAAAAAUGUUGUCAUUUAAGUUUUGGAUCUAUUCACUUCUUAUUAAAAAUAAAUUUAACAUUUCUUACAAUUCGGUUAUACAAUAUUUAUCCCAUUAACACUAACAUAAAUUAACCAAUACGAAAUACUAAUCAGAUCUAAACGAUUAUAUAAGCAAAAACUCAUCAUUAAUCCAAACAUUUACAUACCACAUGAUCAUCUUUAAGUCGACAAUGUGUGACUCAAGGGAAGAGCUAUGCUCCACACUCAUCUCUUUUCUCAGUUUUGUUACCUUUUCAAAGGAAUAGCGAUUGGCCUCUCCUUCAUUCAAUUCUGGUCUCUUGACCAUACACUGAAUACCCUUAACACUGUGUCAACAAAUCGCUCAAAGGGUUAUAAGGGAUCACAGACAUCAGUUUUAUGUUGCUUGGAAGGGUCCCAGAUGGCUGCGAGAGACAAUUAAUUCAAAAGCUGGUGUUCUUUUUUUUUUUUUUUCAAAAGCUGGUGUUCAAUAAGAAGACAAUCGUAAAGUCCUUUCAAUGAUGGUUUUCAACUAUGGGAGAAGGAGCUCUCUGUGCUCCGUUCUGCAUUUCUUCAUUUUUGAGCUGUUUUAUUCUUAGCUGAAGCUGUAUAACUUUUUAUUUCUUAUUUGAACCAUUUUGGUAUGGUGAACAAUUGAUGAUUCUAUUUAGCAAAAAAAAAAAAAAACAAUUGAUGAUUCUAAUAAUAACCAGAGUUGAAAAACAAUUUGAACAAAUCUGUUACAGAUUUUGUUAUGUAUAUUUUCGAAAUAUUGUUACCAAAAAUAUUUCUUUUUUAAUAUUUUAAAUGUUUGGGCGUAUAUUGAAUAUAAAUGGAUGAUUUUUAGGAAAAUAUUUAAAAGCAUUAAAAAGAAGAAAAUAUACAUAAGGUUAGGUACAAAAUAUAAACAAUAACCACAAAAUAGGAUAAUAAACAAUAUGCUAAAGAAGGUAAAUAAAAGCAAUACCAUACUAAUUAUCGAAAUAUAUAAUUAGUUUAAUUUGUAAAUGAAAUGGUUCUAUUAUGAUUUUCUUACAGUAAAUUUUUUACAGUAAUUGUUUUUCAAAAAUCUGUAUGGUAACUUUUAUUGUAUCCUUCCAACCAUAACUUAGGAAAUAGUUUUAAAAUCUGAAGUAAAAUCUUUUAUAUAUAUCAAUAAACAUGUGAAAAUAUUCCAUAUCAGAACAUUUUAGAAACCAAAUCUAAAUAUUAACCUCAAAAUGAUAAUAAUUAAAUUUAUAGUUAAUUUUUGCUAAUGAAACAGUUAUUUUUGGUUUAUUUUUUCUAAGUUUAGUUAUACAAAUGGUUACUUUGGUGAAUGGAAGUUUUUUUGACUAAAGAUAUGUUUUAUUAUUUUAUAGCAGGAUAAAAUCCAUGCAGCAGUCAAAAAGUUUCUUUAUGUUAUUGUUACCAAUUAAAAUACGAUUACAAAUAAAUUUCAAAAUAAAAGAAACAAAAAACAAUCUAAUCAAAAAAUUUAUAUAAUAAAAUAACUUAAUACAUAAUUAUAUUUGUUGAUUUCAUGAUGAAAAACAUAAUCCGCGUUUCAACGCGGGUCAUAUUCUAGGAUUAUAUUAUACUAAAGUCUUCUAUAAUUGUAUAAUCUCAGUUCAUCCUUCUAUUAAACCCACCACCAUAAUCACUCUUUAUCUUAAAAUUAAGGAAAUAACACACUAUAAUACAAGCUUGGGCCUAUUAAAAACUCAUUGUCAAAGAUACAUCCAUGAAAAUGCAAAAUACAGUUUCUGUUGCCUGCUUCUUUACACAAUACUAUUUCUUCGCCACAUUUCACUUAUUCAGAACUUUAUUUGGGAUAAAGUUGGAUUAUUCAACUUAACGUGAAGCUUUUACCAAACCAAAAUAUACUUUAAUCUCAUUGUCAGACUUUGUGUUCUCCAUGGACACAAAGUUUAGUUGUGCAUCUCAUUUGACAUGGGUGCAAGAGCUUCGGUCAUGGUCCCUUUAUCUAGUCCUGAAACGAAAGGAGGACAAUGGGGACAGUUUGGUGGUUGGUAUAUAGGUGGAUGGUAGUAUGGCACGCUUGGGGUGCACCCACCGGUUUGGCAUCCUCCACCAGUACCAAAGCCAGGAACCGUCACUCCCGGAAUGGUAAAACCGGGAAUGUGGGUGCCUGGCACAGUUAUGGGAGGGAUUGUUGUGCCUGGUACAGUUAUGGGAGGGACAACUACACUGGGUACACCAGUAGAGCCACUUCCUCCUCUACCGAUACCAAUCCCUUCCCCUGAACCACUACCUCGUCCAAUGCCUUCACCGAAUCCGGUACCUGGGGCUCCCCUGACAGGACCGCAAUUGGGUUGGCCAUACCCUGAUCCUCUUCCUUCUCCAAUGCCAACACCUGAACCAUCACCAUAGCCUAUUCCUUCUCCAAAACCACUGCCUCCACUUGAGCCUAUUCCUUCUCCGAAGCCACUGCCACCACUAGAGCCAAUCCCUUCUCCGAAGCCACUGCCUCCACUAGAGCCUAUCCCUUCUCCAAAGCCACUGCCACCACUAGAGCCUAUUCCUUCUCCGAAGCCGCUGCCUCCACUGCCAUAACCAACGCCAUAGCCAUAUCCCAUAGGCUUAACUGUGUGAUCAGGCUUCUCUAUGCCAUCAAUCUUCUCUUUGUCUUUAAGCUUCUCUUUGUAAUCAGGCUUUACUUCAUGAUCAGGCUUCUCUAUGUCAUCAAUCUUCUCUUUGCCACCAUCAUUAAGCCUCUCUUUGUAAUUAGGCUUUACUAUAUGAUCAGGCUUCUCUAUGCCAUCAAUCUUCUCUUUGCCACCAUCAUUAAACCUCUCUUUGUAAUUGGGCUUUACUAUAUGAUCAGGCUUCUCUAUGUCAUCAAUGUUCUCUUUGUCACCAUCAUUAAGCUUCUCUUUGUAAUCAGGCUUUACUUUAUGAUCAGGCUUCUCUAUGCCAUCAAUCUUCUCUUUGCCACCAUCAUUAAACCUCUCUUUGUAAUUGGGCUUUACUAUAUGAUCAGGCUUCUCUAUGUCAUCAAUNN
rnacentral:lncRNA from 1 species